UCCAGCUUAGCUCAGUCGGUAGAGCAGGCGGCUGUUAACCGCCGGGUCCCUGGUUCGAGUCCAGGAGCUGGAGCCA
rnacentral:tRNA from 2 species